rnacentral:lncRNA from 1 species
CGCGGGGCUGGGAGCGAGGCGCAGCCUUCCCCGCCUCCCACAGCCCAGCUCCGGUGGAAACUUUGAAGGCUGCAGCAGCGGCGUCAAACGGGGAUGCGGAGGUUCCUGGUUAGCAGCUCCCCCUCCGCAGAGCUGCUCCGAGGAUUUGACACCGCAAUUGUUUUCUGAAGAGAACACGCGACUCCCUUCUUAUGUAUUCCCUUUCCCGGUGUUUGUAUUUGCUUCAAAGUCUCCUCAUCACCCUGUUUGGUGACAAAAACUCAUGUCUGGAGAUCAGGAGGCGCGUUCCUGAUUGAUCUGGAAGCAGCAGCUCGGUGCGAGGGAAGGAGUCUAUACACACCGCAACAGCUCUUUAAUUUCUUAAUUUAAUAUCUGACACGUAAAGAUUCUCAUUAAGCCAGUCAAUGAAGCCUGGAAAUACAAUUUUCGUGCAAACUGUCGCUAUCAUAACUUACACGAAACUUCAGCUGGUGCCCUGUAAGCGGCGUGAUUAAAACCAUUCAUCUUCCUUGUCAGCCUCCCCGUCACCGCGACACCCGUGCCCAGCGCCGUGCCACCGCCGUGCGGGGCCCAUGGGUGCUGGGUCCAACGCUGCAGCCCCAGCACCCGCGGGUGGGGGCCUGGGGGGCCGGAUCCUGCGGGGAGGCGUCCCCAGGGUGGGAGGUGCGCA